CAAAGGCUUGGUCCUGACUUUACUAUCGACUUUAACUAGAUUUACACAUGCAAGUAUCCGCACCCCUGUGAGAAUGCCCUCAUCUCCCUGCCCGGGGCUGAGGAGCCGGCAUCAGGCUCGCCCCGCAGCCCAAGACGCCUUGUUCAGCCACACCCCCAAGGGAGCUCAGCAGUGAUAAACAUUAAGCCAUAAGUGAAAACUUGACUUAGUCAAAGUUAAGAGGGCCGGUAAAACUCGUGCCAGCCACCGCGGUUAUACGAGCGACCCAAGCUGAUAGUCACCGGCGUAAAGAGUGGUUAGAGAACAACCCAAACUAAAGCCGAACGCCUUCAAGGCUGUUAUACGCAUCCGAAGGUACGAAGAACCAUCACGAAAGUGGCUUUACCCCCCACCCGAACCCACGAAAGCUACGUAACAAACUGGGAUUAGAUACCCCACUAUGCCUAGCCCUAAACAUAGAUAGUAACAUACUCUACUAUCCGCCCGGGAACUACGAGCAUUAGCUUAAAACCCAAAGGACUUGGCGGUGCUUUAGACCCACCUAGAGGAGCCUGUCCUAGAACCGAUAACCCCCGUUCAACCUCACCCCCCUUUGUUUUUCCCGCCUAUAUACCACCGUCGUCAGCUUACCCUGUGAAGGCCCUAUAGUAAGCAAAAUUGGUAAAACCCAAAACGUCAGGUCGAGGUGUAGCGCAUGGGAGGGGAAGAGAUGGGCUACAUUCUCUACUACAGAGAACCACGAAUGUAUUAGUACUGAAACAUACAACUGAAGGAGGAUUUAGCAGUAAGUGGAAAAUAGAGCGUUCCACUGAAACCGGCCCUGAAGCGCGCACACACCGCCCGUCACUCUCUCCAAGCUUAUUAUUCUUUAUAACUAAAAUAUUAUUCAUUGCAAAGGGGAGGCAAGUCGUAACAUGGUAAGUGUACCGGAAGGUGUACUUGGAAAAAC
rnacentral:ncRNA from 1 species